GGGGGCGACCUGGCUUCGACGUGAGCGUCGGAAGUCGUGGGAGCGUGCCGAGGUGCUCGGGUCCUCGUAAAACACCGGGAAACGCUUCAACUGCCAACGACAACUUGGCACUGGCUGCGUAACUUAACGUAGCCCGUCUUCCGAUCGGCCGGGCCCGAGGCGGGUCGGUUGACGACGGCGUAUCGGGCUGGUCCUGGACGUAGGCCUCGAGCGUUCAGGAUGAGAGGGCGAGAGCCUCUUCGUGGCUGGCUGGUGACGGGUCGCCUGCGGACCUGGAUCCGGCGAGAUUCCCAGCGCAGGCUACGCACGUAGAGACCACGUCGGAUGGGUUCGCGGACGCGGGUUCGAUUCCCGCCGCCUCCAUGC
rnacentral:tmRNA from 1 species